rnacentral:rRNA from 1 species
GCAAGUCGAACGAGAAAGCGGGGGCAACUCCGCGAGUAAAGUGGCGACCGGGUGAGUAACACGUGACUAACCUGCCCUCGAGCGGGGGAUAACCCCGGGAAACCGGGGCUAAUACCGCAUAACAUCUUCGAUAUGAAAGUAUUGAGGAUCAAAGGAGCAAUUCACUUGAGGAGGGGGUCGCGGCCGAUUAGCUAGUUGGCGGGGUAACGGCCCACCAAGGCUGAGAUCGGUAGCCGGCCUGAGAGGGCGCACGGCCACACUGGAACUGAAACACGGUCCAGACUCCUACGGGAGGCAGCAGUGGGGAAUUUUGCGCAAUGGGGGGAACCCUGACGCAGCAACGCCGCGUGGAGGAUGAAGUCCCUUGGGACGUAAACUCCUUUCGACCGGGAAGAUAAUGACGGUACCGGAAGAAGAAGCACCGGCUAACUCUGUGCCAGCAGCCGCGGUAAUACAGAGGGUGCGAGCGUUGUUCGGAAUUAUUGGGCGU